GUCUACGGCCAUACCACCCUGAACGCGCCCGAUCUCGUCUGAUCUCGGAAGCUAAGCAGGGUCGGGCCUGGUUAGUACUUGGAUGGGAGAAACAACAGGAUCUACUGCUUGGAGCCACUCUGAGGACUGAAGAAG
rnacentral:rRNA from 1 species